rnacentral:rRNA from 1 species
CCUACGGGGGGCAGCAGUGGGGGAUAUUGCACAAUGGGGGAAACCCUGAUGCAGCGACGCCGCGUGUGGGAAGACGGUCCUCUGGAUUGUAAACCACUGUCCCCAGGGACGAAGAUGACGGUACCUGGGGAAGAAGCCCCGGCUAACUACGUGCCAGCAGCCGCGGUAAUACGUAGGGAGCGAGCGUUGUCCGGAAUCACUGGGUGAAAAGGGAGCGUAGGCGGGACUGCAAGUUGGGGGUCAAAGCUACGGGCUCAACCGGAAGCCGCUCUGAAAACUGGAGGUCUUGAGUGAAGUAGAGGCAGGCGGAAUGCCUAGUGUAGCGGUGAAAUGCGUAGAUAUUAGGAGGAACACCAGUGGCGAAGGCGGCCUACUGGGCUUUUACUGACGCUGAGGCUCGAAAGUGUGGGGAGCAAACAGGAUUAGAUACCCUUGUAGUC